GAUGAACGCUGGCGGCGUGCCUAAUACAUGCAAGUCGAGCGAACAGACGAGGAUCUUGCUCCUCUGACGUUAGCGGCGGACGGGUGAGUAACACGUGUAUAACCUACCUAUAAGACUGGGAUAACUACGGGAAACCGGCUCUAAUACCGGAUAAUAUCUUGAACCGCAUGGUUCAAUAGUGAAAGACGGUUUUGCUGUCACUUCUAGCUGGAUCCCGGCCGCAUUAGCUAGUUGGUAAGGUAACGGCUUACCAAGGCGACGAUGCGUAGCCGAACUGAGAGGGUGAUCGGCCACACUGGAACUGAGACACGGUCCAGGCUCCUACGGGAGGCAGCAGUAGGGAACCUUCCGCAGUGGGCGAGAGCCUGACGGAGCAACGCCGCGUGAGUGAUAAAGGUCUUCGGAUCGGAAAGCUCUGUUAUUAGGGAAGAACAAAUGUGGAAUUAACUAUGCACGGCUUGACGGUACCUAAUCAGAAAGCCACGGCUAACUACGUG
rnacentral:rRNA from 1 species